rnacentral:snRNA from 1 species
AUCACUUCUCAGCCUUUUGGCUAAGAUCAAGUGCAGUAUUUGUUAUUAGUUUAAAGCACAUGACUGGAAAAAUUUCCAACAUCAGAAAUUAGGGGCUAAUGAUACAUA